rnacentral:rRNA from 1 species
UCAUAACAAUAACGACUCUCGGCAACGGAUAUCUAGGCUCUUGCAUCGAUGAAGAACGUAGCGAAAUGCGAUACUUGGUGUGAAUUGCAGAAUCCCGUGAACCAUCGAGUCUUUGAACGCAAGUUGCGCCCAAAGCCUUCUGGCCGAGGGCACGCCUGCCUGGGUGUCACACAUC